rnacentral:lncRNA from 1 species
GAAACAACAUUCCUCUGAUGCUAACUGGUGCUUCUGAGAGCAAAAUGUCAGGGAGGAGAGAAGCAUGGCCUCUCGAGACAAACCCAGGCUGCUAAGAAUGUAAGCUCUGGUCUCACUUUGCGUUCCAGCCAAACACCUAAGUGCUCCUUUCUAUGACCAAAGGAAUAGCAACAAAGUGAAGCUGUGUUCUCCUCACUGCAUCCCGUCAGGAGAAUUCCUCACUGAUUAAAAUCUGGUUACAAAACAAGGGACCUAGAGAGAUGUUCACUUCACCACUUCUCUACAGAUGCCUCCUGCUGCUUCCAACUUUUCUCCUUUAAGGCAGGGUGAAUCCAAAUCAUGGUCUCAGCCCUGAAGGAGGCACCAAAACAGUUUCGUUGCCCUGUGAAAAGCUUCUAGAGGAGCUCCUCUGAAUGCUUGAAGAAACCAGCCGCCCUUGCAAUUACCUAAAAGGAAUUGAGUCAUUUUAACAAGACAUUAUUUCUGCCAUCCACG